UACGGAGGGUGCAAGCGUUGUUCGGAAUUACUGGGCGUAAAGGGCGCGUAGGCGGUGUGGUAAGUCAGAUGUGAAAGCCCUGGGCUUAACCCAGGAAGUGCAUUUGAAACUGCCAUGCUUGAGUAUGGGAGAGGAGAGUGGAAUUCCCAGUGUAGAGGUGAAAUUCGUAGAUAUUGGGAGGAACACCCGUGGCGAAGGCGACUCUCUGGACCAAUACUGACGCUGAGGCGCGAAAGCGUGGGGAGCAAACAGG
rnacentral:rRNA from 1 species